CAAACUGAGGGGUACGAACAUUUAUUUUAAUGAGGACUAUUCUGAAGCCGUAAGGAUUAAGCGAAGGGAAUUAGUUCCGGUAAUGAAGGCUGAACGAGCAAAGGGAAACAUUGCCUACAUUCGCCAUGACAGACUUAUUGUUCAUUCUCCCUCUCAGAGGAUGACAGGUCCAAAUGGAAAGACCAGCUAAGAAUGUGGGUUUGAAUUUGCAACCUACACCCUCCUGGUGACAUACUGGGAUUUGACUGAGGUCAGCAGACUCCAAGUUAAGAGUCACCAGUGCAAACACGUCCAAGAUAAGUGUUCCUUAACGAAAUGCAAGGGAGGACAAACCCAGCCUGCUGCUCUCCUUCCACUUUGAGCCCAAACAAGAGUCAUUGGAUUGUGAAAGUGAAGCUCAGGAUGUGUUGGUGGAUUCAGAGAUGACAUCAGUAAAGCUGGACAAAAGUCAAACGCUGGGACUGACUGUUAGCAUUAAAAAUGAAGAGAAGGAGAAGAAUGAAGAAAAGGAGAAGAAUGGGGUUAUCAUUAAAAAAGAAGAGGGGGA
ensembl:lncRNA